rnacentral:pre_miRNA from 14 species
UGUGCGUGACAGUGAAAUGCUCAAAUGCCUCUGGUGACUUAUUUUUGCACCAUGGCUGUUUAAGCAUGUGCCAUUGGUUCAC